AUUGAACGCUAGCUACAGGCUUAACACAUGCAAGUCGAGGGACCGGCGCACGGGUGAGUAACACGUACCCAACCUGCCCUUUACUCGGGGAUAGCCUUUCGAAAGAUAGAUUAAUACCCGAUAUAAAGGAUGGGGAUGCGUUCCUUUAGGUUGUUGGUGAGGUAACGGCCCGCCAAGCCUUCGAUGGAGAGGGGUUCUGAGAGGAAGGACCCCCGCAUUGGAACUGAGACACGGUCCAAACUCGUACGAGAGGCAGGAGUUAGGAAGAUUGGGCAAUGGGCGUUAGCCUGAACCAGCCAAGUAGCGUGAAGGAUGAAGGCUUAUGGGUCGUAAACUUCUUUGAUAUAAGAAUAGGUAUUAUAUGAAUAAGGAUCGGCUAACUCCGUGCCAGCAGCCGCGGUAAUUC
rnacentral:rRNA from 1 species